AAUCUGAAGAGGUGUGUUUUGAUAUGUGUUUUGAAUGUGUCCAUGUCAGUACGGUCACGGAUGUGUAUGGACAGGGAGUCCCAGAGGGACGGGGCUGCAAUGGUGAACGCUCUGUCACCCCAGGUACGGUGCUUGACCAGGUCUGUGAGG